rnacentral:rRNA from 1 species
UACGGGGGAGCAAGCGUUGUUCGGAUUUACUGGGCGUAAAGGGCGCGUAGGCGGCCACCGCAAGUCAGUUGUGAAAUCUCUGGGCUUAACCCAGAAAGGUCAACUGAUACUGCGGGGCUAGAGUGCAGAAGGGGCAACUGGAAUUCUCGGUGUAGCGGUGAAAUGCGUAGAUAUCGAGAGGAACACCUGCGGCGAAGGCGGGUGCUGGGCUGACACUGACGCUGAGGCGCGAAAGCUAGGGGGGAGCGAACGGG